AAGGAAACAUGUUUUAAGGAAAAAAAAAUUAUUUGAACCAGUAGUGUGAGUUCAUCCUGGAUCAGUGUUUUCUCAUGUGGCUUCACCACUUCUGAGUUGGUAUUAGGAAGCCUAAAAGUGGAUUAACUGAACUGUUGGACCACUGCCUAUUUCCUGUGCCUAUUUGAUAAUUGGUGAUGCACCACUGGUGCCUGGAAAGUGUUUCUAUAUAACAGGUGCUUUCAGAAGCUGAAUAUCUUGCAAUAUUAUUACAAAGGUAGAUUCUUCUAAAAGAACCUUUUGUUUACAAUUUAACAAAUAACAAACAUAAUUCUUUAUAUUUACAAAGAACAAAAUUGGUGUAAUGCAAUUCCUGUUGUAAUUCUCUUGUGUUGUCUUAUUUUCAAAUAAAUCAGCUCAUUCCAUCACUCUUCUGCUAACUCUGUAAAUCACCUAAAGCAGCUGUCCUGGCUCUGACCUCACUUGCGUCCUGUGUCUUCCUGUGACCCUGGUUCCUUGCUUGAGCUGGCUUCAUUACUGCAAUGCUCCUGGAUGUAGCUGCUUCCACUGAUUGUGCCUUCAUCAACUGUAGAGGCAAAGACUUGGGUGAUGCAGAUUACGAUGUAUGAUUUAAACUCCUCUGCCUAGCACCUUGAUCAUUAAACUUCUAUUCCAUAAACUCUGCCUUGCAAAAGCCCAGCUGGUAAAUUCCCAGCAGCCUCUCCCUAAGUUGCUGCCUUUAAUACAGUGGUAUUAAAUCCAUGGGUGUGUGGAUUAAGGGGCAAGGCAAGUAGUUGGUGUGAGGCUGUGCAGCUCUGGAAGGUUUUUGCAUCCUCGGAAGAUUUGUAAACAGCUCCUGGACCAGGGCAGCUGCACUACCUUUC